GAACGAAAGGGAAUACGGUUCCAAUUCCGUAACCUGUUGAGUAUACGUUUGUUAUUAAAUAUGGGCUUUUUGCUCAUCCUGGCAACAGGAACAACCAUAGAGAAGCCGUCGAGAGGUAUCGGAAGAGUUUUCUUUUCUGUUUUAUAGUCGUACUACCAUGGAAGUCUUUCGAAGAGAGAUAUGGUAGAUGGACUAGAAGAGCAUGGCAUUUACUGCUGUGUCGAUAUUUUCUCCUCGGACCUUGAAAAUCUAUGGUGGGGUCACGCAAACAUCUCAACAGGCCGUACCGAUAUCCGCAGCUGGUCUCCAAGGUGAAGAGUCUCUAGUCGAUAGAAUAAUGUAGGUAA
rnacentral:rRNA from 1 species